CUGGCGGCGGAGGCCGCGGAAGGUGAGGCGUGGUGGGGCCCGCGGGUAUGCACGAGGAAGCCUUCCAGGAGAGGGUGCGGCAGGGUGGUGACGACCUGAAGGGCCCCAGACUGUGUGGAAGUGGAGCUGUGUUCCAAUCUGAGGGACCCACUUCAACAGCCAAUGGGACGAACCUUUCCACUGAGUGUCCAGCAUAGACAGACCCAUCCCAACACACUUGGCUUCCCCUCCUCUUUUUUGUACUCAAGAAUCCCUGUCACUGAUCCACGGCUCCCUAUCUUCUAUUUCCCUGCCUGACUCAGUUUCCUUAUAUUUCUUUUUCUCUCCUUACUGUUUGUUGUCUUCCUAGAGCUAUGGCUCUGUGUCUCUUUACAGUUUAGUCUCCCUACGUAUCUCUCUGUGUGUCUGCGUUUCAGUUCUGCCUCUCAGGUUCUCUGCAUGUCUGUCUCUCUGUACCCCUGUGCCUGACUCCCCUGUUCACCUUUGUCUCUGGCUACCUUGGGGCCUGUAACAGUGAUGAAUGCGGGAUGUCUGCCAUGCUAAGAGGUCCCUGGAAGAGGGGCCUUAAACCACGACGAGGAGUUGCUUUUAGGGGGUGCUAUGACCCCAUCCCAGGAGCAGAAUGAUGAGCAGCAGCUGCACAGGGCUGAGCAGGGUCCUGGUGGCCGUGGCUACAGCCCUGGUGUCUGCCGCCUCCUCCUGCCCCCAGGCCUGGGGCCCCCCAGGGGUCCAGUAUGGGCAGUCUGGAAGGUCCAUGACGCUAUGUUGCCCUGGAGUGACUGCUGGGGCCCCGGUGUCCUGGUUUCGGGACGGGGAAACGAGGCUGCUCCAGGGACCCGACUCUGGGCUAGGGCAUGAACUGGUCCUAGCCCUGGCAGAUAGCACUGACGAGGGUACCUACAUCUGCCGGACCCUGGAUGGUGCACUUGGGGGCAUGGUGACCCUGCAGCUGGGCUACCCCCCAGCCCGCCCUAUUGUCUCCUGCCGAGCAGCCGACUAUGAGAACUUCUCCUGCACUUGGAGUCCCAGCCAAGUUAGCGGUUUACCCACCCGUUACCUCACCUCCUACAGGAAGAAGACUGUGCCAGGAGCUGAUGGCCAGAGGGUGAGUCCAUCCACAGGGCCCUGGCCAUGCCCACAGGACCCCCCAGGGGCCACCCGCUGUGUGGUCCAUGGGGCAGAGUUCUGGAGCCAGUACCGGAUCAAUGUGACUGAGGUGAACCCCCUGGGGGCCAGCACACGCCUGCUGGAUGUGAGCUUGCAGAGCAUCUUGCGUCCUGACCCACCCCAGGGGCUUCGGGUAGAGUCAGUACCUGGCUACCCCCGCCGCCUGCGUGCCAGCUGGAUGUACCCUGCCUCCUGGCCCCGCCAGCCCCACUUCUUGCUCAAGUUCCGGCUGCAGUACCGUCCAGUGCAGCAUCCUGCCUGGUCCAUGGUGGAGCCAGCUGGCUUAGAGGAGGUGAUCACAGACGCUGUGGCUGGGCUGCCCCAUGCGGUGCGGGUCAGUGCCCGGGACUUUCUGGACGCUGGCACCUGGAGCGCCUGGAGCCCAGAGGCUUGGGGGACUCCGAGCACUGGUCUUGCCUCCCUUCAGGGCCUCUACCAAAGGAGAUACCAGCUGGGGGUAAGCCAUACACGCAGCCAAAGGAGAAUCCACAGAUGGACAGCCCCGCUCCCCCAAGGCCCUCCCUCCUGCCAGACCCAAGGCCACUUGACCACAGGGACCCCCUGGAACAGAUGGCUGUGUUGGCAUCUUUGGGAAUCUUCUCUUUCCUGGGAUUGGCUGCUGGGGCCCUGGCACUGGGGCUCUGGCUGAGACUAAAACCGGAUGGGAAGGAUGGACCCCAAAAGCCUGGGUUCUUGGCCCCAAUGAUUCCAGUGGACAAGCUUCCAGGAGCCCCAAACCUGUAGAGGACCCAGGAGGGCUUCAGCUGAUUCCACCUAUAACUCCAUCUUGCUGGUGUGGAUGGACGGACAGAUAAAACCCAGGCAGGACAGUGAAUCCCCAUGGGUGUAUGGGGUCUCAGCUGAAAGUUCUGUUUGGAGCUCAUUUCUAUGAGACUCUUGUUCCAAACUGGCCAAAUGAAAGGUACCUGGACCUCUGAUUUCAUCCCAAAGCUGGAGGCCCAUCAGCAGAAUGUGUGUAGGUGUGUAUGCCUGUGUCCGUGUGUGCCCAUGUGAAUGUGAGGCAGGAAACAUUGUUCUCUGCAUGUAUGUAUGUAGGUGUAGUGUGUGUGGGUCCCUGGCUCUUGGCCUUGCCCCUGGCAGGGAUUGUGAAGGUGUGAAUAAAGAGAAUGAGGAGGUU